GAUGAACGCUGGCGGCGUGCUUAACACAUGCAAGUCGAACGAAGCAUUUAAGACAGAUUACUUCGGUUUGAGGUCUUUUAUGACUGAGUGGCGGACGGGUGAGUAACGCGUGGGUAACCUGCCUCAUACAGGGGGAUAGCAGCUGGAAACGGCUGGUAAUACCGCAUAAGCGCACAGUACCACAUGGUACAGUGUGAAAAACUCCGGUGGUAUGAGAUGGACCCGCGUCUGAUUAGCUUGUGGGCGGGGUAACGGCCCACCAAGGCGACGAGCAGUAGCCGACCGGAGAGGGUGACCGGCCACAUUGGGACUGAGACACGGCCCAGACUCCGACGGGAGGCAGCAGUGGGGAAUAUUGCACAAUGGAGGAAACUCUGAUGCAGCGACGCCGCGUGAGUGAAGAAGUAGUUCGCUAUGUAAAGCUCUAUCAGCAGGGAAGAUAGUGACGGUACCUGACUAAGAAGCUCCGGCUAAAUACGUG
rnacentral:rRNA from 1 species